rnacentral:rRNA from 1 species
UACGGAGGGUGCAAGCGUUAAUCGGAAUUACUGGGCGUAAAGCGCGCGUAGGCGGCUUGUUAAGUCAGAUGUGAAAUCCCGGGGCUCAACCUCGGAACUGCAUCUGAUACUGGCAAGCUAGAAUCUGGGAGAGGGGAGUAGAAUUUCCGGUGUAGCGGUGAAAUGCAUAGAGAUCGGAAGGAAUACCAGUGGCGAAGGCGGCUCCCUGGACCAAGAUUGACGCUGAGGUGCGAAAGCGUGGGUAGCAAACAGG